UCCGACCUCAGAUCGGACGAGAUUACCCGCUGAAUUUAAGCAUAU
rnacentral:rRNA from 1 species